rnacentral:rRNA from 1 species
CGGCAACAGCUCAAAUUUGAAAUCUGGCCUUUCAGGUCCGAGUUGUAAUUUGUAGAGGACGUUUCGGGCAACGUCGCGGUUUAAUUUUCUUGGAACAGAAAGUCACAGAGGGUGAGAAUCCCGUCUUGAACCGAUGACCGCGUCCAUGUGAAACUCCUUCGAC